rnacentral:piRNA from 1 species
UGAGAAGGUGAGAUCAAUUCAGCAAUUGA